CGCUGAGGCUCGAAAGCGUGGGUAGCAAAACGGAUUAGAUACCCGUGUAGUCCACGCCGUAAACGAUCCCUGUUAGAUGUAUGUUUCGUCUGUUUAUUUUUCCUUCGGGAAGGGUAAAGGGCAAGAUGUGCGUCGUAGUUAACGCGUUAAACAGGGCGCCUGGGAAGUACGGCCGCAAGGCUAAAACCCAAAGGAAUUGACGGGGACCCGCACAAGCAGUGGAGCGCCUGGUUUAAUUCGAUGGUCAGCGAAGAACCUCACCUAGGCUUGAACUGUAGCUGCACGCUCCCAGAAACGGGAGAAUCCUUCGAGGGUGCUACAGAGGUGCUGCAUGGCUGUCGUCAGCUCGUGUCGUGAGAUGUAGGGUUAAGUCCCACAACGAGCGCAACCCCUAUUCAGUGUCAUAAUUACUCUGAAGACUGCCCUGUCCACCCGGGGAGCAAGGAGGGGACGACGUCCAGUCAUCAUGUCCAUUAUGUCUAGGGCUACACAGACGCUACAAUGGCCGGUACAAUGGGUUGCCAAACCGCGAGGUGGAGCCAAUCCCAUCAAAGCCGGUCCCAGUUCGGAUUGCAGUCUGCAACUCGACUGCAUGAAGUUGGAAUUGCUAGUAAUCGCGAUCUAGCACGUCGCGGUGAAUGCGUUCUCGGGUCUUGUACACACCGCCCGUCAGGC
rnacentral:rRNA from 1 species